AGAACGAACGCUGGCGGCAGGCUUAACACAUGCAAGUCGAGCGCCCCGCAAGGGGAGCGGCAGACGGGUGAGUAACACGUGGGAACGUACCCUUUACUACGGAAUAACGCAUGGAAACGUGUGCUAAUACCGUAUGUGCCCUUUGGGGGAAAGAUUUAUCGGUAAAGGAUCGGCCCGCGUUGGAUUAGCUAGUUGGUGGGGUAAAGGCCUACCAAGGCGACGAUCCAUAGCUGGUCUGAGAGGAUGAUCAGCCACAUUGGGACUGAGACACGGCCCAAACUCCUACGGGAGGCAGCAGUGGGGAAUAUUGGACAAUGGGCGCAAGCCUGAUCCAGCCAUGCCGCGUGAGUGAUGAAGGCCCUAGGGUUGUAAAGCUCUUUCACCGGAGAAGAUAAUGACGGUAUCCGGAGAAGAGCCCGGCUAACUUCGCGCCAGCAGCCGC
rnacentral:rRNA from 1 species